CUUGAUCUCAAGAGUGACGGGCGAUUUGUGCAUGUUUUAUUUCAUUUUCAAAAUUUAAUUAUAUUUUUACAUAUUUAAUAUUAAGUCCCAUUUCCUUUUUAUUAAAUUAAUUUUUCAACCAUUUAUUUAUCUUUGUAUCCCUAAUCUUCUUUGAUAUUAAUUCUGUCUCGAUUUGUUUUUUAUCUUAAUAGAUGUUAAGUCAAACUCUUUCAUUCAACUUUAAAACAAUGAUAUAGAGAUUUAUAAUCAAAAUAAAUUUAAUCGUGGGGUGUCUAUUAUAGUUUAGGAUCCCCUAAUGUGAUAAAACACCGCCAUAUUCCUUAGAUUUUUCUUUUUUUAGAUACUACCUAUAUUUAAACUAGAA
rnacentral:rRNA from 1 species